UUAAACCUGAAUUAUAAAAAACAUCAAAUGUGUUGGUGUUAUGGUUUAUUAUUGUGUGAUGUAUUUAACUCCUGUGACACAGUAGUACUUAUUUCAUAUUCUGUAUGGGAUUAUGUUUGGGCUCAAUAUGAGCAGAUCAGCAUGGGGUUAAAAUCUGCACAGUUGAAGCAAUGACAUUCAUCUACAGUAGUGGAAAUAAAAUCCAUUGUAAGAAAAGUUGUGUAGUGUCUGAUGAAUGGUUGCUUCUGCUACUGUAGUGUAACCACAAUUCAAUACAUUUUGAAACGUCACUACUUGUCUAUUGAGCAGGUGUGUUUAUAUUACCUCUCAAAUAAAUUGUUUUCCUGCAGGUUUUAACCUGUAUCUGCUGCACAUCAGUUGAAUGGAUUAGACCACGAAGCCAAAAUUAAGGCAGAAGUGUAGUUUGCAUGAAAUCCAGUCUCUGAGAUGUUCCUGAGACCCUACAGUUUCUCAUUUUUUCAUAUGCAUUUCUAAUAUCUGCAAAUACAUUACAGUAUGUUAUGACUGCUUUGAGUGCAAUGAGCUAAACCAACAACCGGCAAAAUUCAUACCUUAAGGCACAAAUUGCUGUACCUACACACAAAGUACAAAACUCUAAAUCACACUCAGUUUUCACAAUACAGUCACCUCAUAUUAAGACUUCCAAAGUAUUAUUGCUAGACAUGCAGAUUGUAAAAUAAAGUCAACAUGUUUGCAAUCCUGUCUCGUCCAACAACAUUGCCCGGGUGAGUCGCAUUGCAACAUGAUUGAUAAUCCCAACAUAAAAGGCAGUUUUACAGCACUACAUUCAGCAGUGUCUGACAACAUGGAGCAGCCCAAUGCAGUUGGUACUGAUGGACGGGUCGUGGCUGAGUCUGAGGUUGUGGUAAAGCAGGUAGCAGAAAUCCUGCUGUAUCAAAUGAAUUUAGAGCCACAGUGAUUGACCAUGUCAUAAAUCCAGGCAUAACAAUGGGAGAAGCUGGCAGGAUUGUAAGGCCAAAUUUAAAAAUGUCAAUAAGAGUUUUUGGACUGAACAUUGAUAAGCCAGUAAUUUACUGCAAAAUGAGAUACUGUAAUUACAUUACAGAAUUGUUGUGUUGGUGUCAUUUUAUAUUAUUUCUGUUACGUGACGAGCCUGUAAGCCAUGUUAAUCAUUUUUAUUAGAGACGGCGCAACUCUGUUUUUCCAAAAUGCCGGCUUAUUCCACAUGGGGGAAAAUAGCGUUUGUGUUAGGUAUUCAUGUGGCAAUGUCUGUUCUGAUAAUGUGAUUAUUGUUCUUCUAUCAGAUAAGGCCUGCUGGUGCAAGUUUGUAAUGUUGCAUUUGUAUGUGUUAUUUUACUGUUUACAUGUCAAAUGUCUAGAGUGUAAUUGUUUCUGUUAAAAUGAUUGGUUGAAUAAUACACAUCCACGCUAUUUUCACCAAUCAUGUUAAACAUACUCACUUGCGCGUCUCAGCUCCAAAGGCAUGCUGAUGUUAAACCCAUAUUCCAAUCUGUUUGAAAUGACACAAAUUCUGCCUAGUCUGUUCAAUCAUCAGACAUUUUUUUACCUCGACAUCUUGUUUAUGCCCUGCACCUGAACAAAUUGGAUGUGCCCAUUCUACUGUACCAUCUCCUUUGUAAGCUAAGAAGUUCCUUUCAGCUGACUACAUCAAAAUCUGUACUAUUGGCAUUUUAUGAGAACUGAAAAUGUACAACAUUGUUAAUCAGAAAUUAUGUCUGGGUUUGUAAAUUGGUGGAUAUGCUGCAGAACAUAGUUUGUCAUUGAUUUAUAAAUAUACCAGUAUAUCCUGGGCUUUCACUGAUGGUUUAAUUGUGGUACAUAUAGCACUGGCCUGAUAUGCAUUCUAUGUUUGCAGUUUGCUUCUACCUGACUGCUUCCUGCAUGUUAGCUGAGACAAUCUUCUUGUUAGAGCAGAUACCUACCUCCCCCACUGUCAGAGCAAAUCACCAAAAACUCUGUAGAGUCAGGUAAAUUAAUCAGGUAAAUUAAUCUGACAUUCGUUUUACUCUGUUUUUGCAAAGCUUUACAAUUUUCUUUAAUAUUAUCUAAAUGUAAAGCACUUGUAACUGGGGUUUUGAAGAAAAAAUUGACAGAGGUGAAUUCAACAUGAUGGAUGACCUCCUUGAUGUCAUACUUCAAGAGGUCAUCAUCAGGAUCUUGGAAUAGAAUGAGGGCAUCAGCUGCUAUCGGGCAGAAUUUGCCAUGGCCAGUGGAUUUCACCAUUAAAGGCUGAAGAAAUGUGACAGUCCUGAUUGUAUUUAUUUUGGAUGUUUGAUUAAAGAAAAAUCUAUUGGCAUAAGUGUUUUUUGUCUCAUUUUAUUAAACCUAUUCAGAUUUUGA